rnacentral:lncRNA from 1 species
AGGGUGUAUUCAGUUAUGUUUGGUCACUUCUGUGCCGCGUACAUCAAAAUCAAUCGCAAUUUUUCUGUUCUUUUAGUUCCAGGCCCUAAAAUGUAUUCAAUUUGUUCCAUUUAAGGUGGCUAGACGAUGUUGGAGCGGCAACGACAACGCCAAACUGACCGUCGGCAGAGCAAUGGCGGCAGAGAAGAGACUGAAGGUCACUGUACCCUACACAGUUGAAGAUGAGAACCUCAUCAGACGGGCAUUGGAUAGCACAGGAGUAACAAAUGGGAGCUCAUGAAAUGAAAAACUGAAAUAUAUGAAUAAUCUUAUUCCUUUGCGGGAUAUACUAUAGAUAUAUAUUAUUAUUUCAAGUGAACUAAAUUUGACUUUUAGUAAAAGCGGAUAUCAAUUUUGCAUAUAAGAUAUGAGAUAUGAAAUGUGCGUUUUGUAGUAUUUAAAUUUGACUAUGUUGUACCAAGGCUAUAAAUUAGCAGAAAUAUUUAAAUAAACGCAAUUCAUUUAAUACUUUCAUUCAUUUCGUGUCUAUCGAAUUUUGUAUAUUUAGGAACUCCUUGACCUUGUAUAACACUGACGUUGCCAUCACCAGAUGUAAUUAUCACCGGAUGUAAUUAUCACCGGAUCGGUGAUGGUAAUGUUCCAUUGUCUCUUCAUUGUUUGGAAAAUUCCACUGUUAUAGAUUUAGGAACCACUUGCAUGACACUAUACAUUGCCAUCACCGGGAGUAAUCACCGG